rnacentral:rRNA from 1 species
CCCGCUGAACUUAAGCAUAUCAAUAAGGCGAGGAACAGAAACCAACAGGGAUUCCCCUAGUAGUGGCGAACGAAUCGGGAAAAGCUCAAGUUUGAAAUCCGAGGUUUACCUCGGAGUUGUAAGCUGCAGAGGCAUCGAUCGACUCGGUCCGGGCUCAAUUUCCUUGGAAUAGGAGGUCAUGGAGGGUGAGAACCCCGUCUGUGGCUCGGGUGCCGUGGUCUUUGUGUCGUGCCCUCGAAGAGUCGGGUUGUUUGGGAAUGCAGCUCAAAAUGGGUGGUAAAUUUCAUCUAAAGCUAAAUAUUGGCGAGAGACCGAUAGCAAACAAGUAGAGUGAUCGAAAGAUGAAAAGUACUUUGAAAAGAGAGUGAAACAGUACGUGAAAUUGUUGAAAGGGAAGCGUUUGGCAUCAGCCCAUGGCCUUUGUCGAUCAUCCGGGUUUCUGCCCGGUGCUCUCGAUGAGGGUUGGGCCAGCGUCGACUUUGUCUGCCGGAGAAAGGCCUUGGGAAUGUGGUUCCUUUUGGAGCGUUAUAUCCCUUGGCGUCAUGCGGUCGGUGAGGUCGAGGUCUGCGGUUUAAAAACCUAGGACGCUGGCGUAAUGGUUCCAAGCGACCCGUCUUGAAACACGG